AUUGAACGCUGGCGGCAGGCUUAACACAUGCAAGUCGAGCGGAGAGAGGUAGCUUGCUACUGAUCUUAGCGGCGGACGGGUGAGUAAUGCUUAGGAAUCUGCCUAUUAGUGGGGGACAACAUUUCGAAAGGAAUGCUAAUACCGCAUACGUCCUACGGGAGAAAGCAGGGGAUCUUCGGACCUUGCGCUAAUAGAUGAGCCUAAGUCGGAUUAGCUAGUUGGUGGGGUAAAGGCCUACCAAGGCGACGAUCUGUAGCGGGUCUGAGAGGAUGAUCCGCCACACUGGGGCUGAGACACGGCCCAGACUCCUACGGGAGGCAGCAGUGGGGAAUAUUGGACAAUGGGCGGAAGCCUGAUCCGGCCAUGCCGCGUGUGUGAAGAAGGCCUUAUGGUUGUAAAGCACUUUAAGCGAGGAGGAGGCUACUUUAGUUAAUACCUAGAGAUAGUGGACGUUACUCGCAGAAUAAGCACCGGCUAACUCUGUGCCAGCCGCCGCCGUAACAC
rnacentral:rRNA from 1 species